rnacentral:rRNA from 1 species
UAAACAUUGAUACAUUAUUACAUUUUCAAUCCGCCCGGGUACUACAAGCACCAGCUUAAAACCCAAAGGACUUGGCGGUGCUUAAGAUCCCCCUAGAGGAGCCUGUUCUAGAACCGAUAAUCCACGUUUAACCUCACCCUCCCUUGUUUUCCCCGUCUAUAUACCGCCGUCGUCAGCUUACCCUGUGAAGGUCUAACAGUGAGCAAAAAUGGCACAGCCCAGAACGUCAGGUCGAGGUGUAGCGCAUGAGAGGGGAAGAAAUUGGCUACAUUCUCUAAAAAUAGAAGCAUACGGACAAUAUAUUGAAACAUAUAUUUUAAGGAGGAUUUAGUAGUAAGUAGAAAUUAGUAUAUUCUACUGAAUUCGGCCCUAAAGCACGC